UACGAAGGGUGCAAGCGUUACUCGGAAUUACUGGGCGUAAAGCGUGCGUAGGUGGUUUGUUAAGUCUGAUGUGAAAGCCCUGGGCUCAACCUGGGAACUGCAUGUCGAACUGUCAGGCUAGAGUAUGGUAGAGGGGUGUGGAAUUUCCUGUGUAGCGGUGAAAUGCGUAGAUAUAGGAAGGAACAUCAGUGGCGAAGGCGACACCCUGGACCGAUACUGACACUGAGGCGCGAAAGCGUGGGUAGCGAACAGG
rnacentral:rRNA from 1 species